rfam:Stegodyphus mimosarum contig132149, whole genome shotgun sequence.
GCCUCCGUGGUGUAGUGGUCUGCAUGCUCGAGUCGUAAUCGAGAGGUCCGUGGUUCGAUUCCCGGCGACGGCG